UUUCAGUACUUUAAAUAUAUCCUGCCAUUUCCUCUGGCCUGCAGAGUUUCUGCUGAAAGAUCAGCUGUUAAGUGAAUGGGGUUUCCCUUGUAUAUUACUCGUUGCUUCUCCCUUGCUGAUUUUAAUACUCUUUCUUUGUGUUUAGUCUUUGUUAGUUUGAUUGAUAUGUGUCUUGGUGUGUUUCUCCUUGGGUUUAUCCUGUAUGGGACUAUUUGUACCUCUUGGAUUUUAUUGACUGUUUCCUUUUCCAUGUUGGGGAAGUUUUCAACUAUAAUCUCUUCAAAAAUUUUCUCAUAUCCUUUCUUUUUCUCUUCUUCUUCUGGGACCCCUAUAAUUCAAAUGUUGGUGCAUUUGAUAUUGUCCCAGAGGUCUCUGAGACUCUCCUCAGUUCUUUUCUUUCUUUUUACUAUAUUCUGCUCUUCUGAAGUUAUUUCCACCAUUUUAUCUUCCAACUCGUUGAUUCAUUCUUCUGCUUCAGAUAUUCUUUUUUUUUUUUUUUCAGAUAUUCUUAAUGAUAUGUUUAAUUUCAGUAAUUGUGUGUUUGUCUCUGUAUGUUUAUUUUUUAAUUCUUCUAUGUCUUUGUUAACUGAUUCUUGCAUUUCCUCCAUUUUGUUUUCAAGAUUUUUGAUCAUCUUUAUUAUCAUUUUUCUGAAUUCUUUUUCAGGUAGUUUGCCUAUUUCCUCUUCAUUUAUUUGGACUUCUGUAUUUCUAGUUUGUUCCUUCAUUUGUGUAGUACUUCUCUGCCUUUUCAUUAUUAUUUUUUUUAAAACUUAUUGUGUUUGAGAUCUCCUUUUCCCAGGCUUCAAGGUUGAAUUCUUUCUUGUUUUUGGUUUCUGCCCUCCUAAGGUUGGUCCAGUGGUUUGUGUAAGCUUUGUAGAGGGUGAGAUUUGUGCUGAGUUUUUGUUUGUUUGCUUGUUUUUCCUCUGAUGGGUAAGGCUGAGUGAGGUGGUAAUCCUGUCUGUUGAUGGUUGUGUUUGUGUUUUUGUUUUGUUUGUUGUUUAGAUGAGGCGUUCUGCAUAGGGUGCUACUGGUGGUUCAG
rnacentral:lncRNA from 1 species